UAAAUAGCCAGGCUGGCUUUGGCUAGUCGCCGGUUUCUUAGAGGGACUGUCAGCGUCUAGCUGACGGAAGUUUGAGGCAAUAACAGGUCUGUGAUGCCCUUAGAUAUCCUGGGCCGCACG
rnacentral:rRNA from 1 species